ACGCUCUCGGAGGUUCCGGAUUCGGUGGUUUGGCCUCUCACUGCCUCUGGCCGCUUCUCGGUCAAGUCUCUGUACUCUAAGCUUAUUGGUGGCUCCCCUACAAAUAGAUUCUCGAAUAUCUGGCGGGCACGUGUACCACCGAAGAUCAAAAUCUUCCUCUGGCAAGCAUUCAGAGGGUGCCUCCGUGCUGCCGAUCAAAUUCGCAAGAGGAAUGGCCCUGGCUCGGAGUUCUGCUCUCUCUGAGAUGCUUUGGAAAACAUGAACCAUAUAUUCUUUCAUUGUGUGCUUGCUAAGCUUGUUUGGAGCCGCGUUAGAUCCUGGCUCCAGGUCACCUGGGAUCCAUCCUCCUUUACUGAUCUGAGAGGUCUUGCCAAUUCCUUGACUAGCGUUACAAAGAGGAUUUUCUGGGUUGGUCUGGGUGCCAUUUGUUGGUCGUUAUGGACUACUAGGAACAAGUUUACGAUCGAACAUGUUUUUCCUGCUAAACCUGCUGGCUGCCUAUUUAAAUCUUGUAUCCUCUUGCAGCAGUUGAGAUCAUUGACUAAGCCGGAGGACCGGGACGCUCUUGAUCUUCUCAUAUCUAAAGUUCAGGCCUCGGCGUCAUCUCUAACUGGGCAGGAUCAUGGUGUCUAG
rnacentral:rRNA from 1 species